rnacentral:tRNA from 1 species
AUGAUAAUUAGUUUAAGCCAAAAANCAAAUGAUUUCGACUCAU